CCUACGGGAGGCUGCAGUGGGGAAUAUUGCGCAAUGGGCGAAAGCCUGACGCAGCGACGCCGCGUGAGGGAUGAAGGUCUUCGGAUCGUAAACCUCUGUCAGCAGGGAAGAACGGUCACUGUGCUAAUCAGCAGUGAAUUGCCGGUACCUGCAAAGGAAGCACCGGCUAACUCCGGGCCAGCAGCCGCGGUAAUACGGGGGGUGCGAGCGUUAAUCGGAUUGACUGGGCGUAAAGCGCUCGUAGGCGGUAUGUCAAGUCAAGGGUGAAAUCCCCGCGCUCAACGUGGGAACUACCUUUGAAACUGGAAAACUGGAGUGUGGGAGAGGAUAGUGGAAUUCCAGGUGUAGGAGUGAAAUCCGUAGAUAUCUGGAGGAACAUCAGUGGCGAAGGCGACUAUCUGGCACAUAACUGACGCUGAGGAGCGAAAGCGUGGGUAGCAAACAGGAUUAGAUACCCUAGUAGUC
rnacentral:rRNA from 1 species